rnacentral:misc_RNA from 1 species
AACCAUUCUCACCUGCGGCUAGACCUGCGGAGGGAUCAUUAAUGAAUAAACUUGGUCAAGCUGUUGCUGGUCCUUCGGGGCAUGUGCACGCUUGCCACCAAUUUUAACCACCUGUGCACCUUUUGUAGAUUGGAAACAAACUUUCGAGGCAACUCGGAUUGAGGACUGCUGUGCGCAAGCCAGCUGUUCUUGUGUUUCCCAGUCUAUGUUUUAUAUACACCGAAUGUAUGUAAAAGAAUG